UGAGCUGCUCAGUUGGUGCGUGGCGUUGCGACUGUUUACUUGUGGCUCUACACUGCCGCCACUACUUUGCGCCGAAGACUAAAUAUGAAUAUUUAAUGUGCGGAAAUCGAAAUGUAUACAACAUACGAACACACAUGCGAGAAUAAUUUACUUGCUUCGUGAGCCGUGUUGUUAGUGUUGGUGGGCAUGAAAAGGAAAAAGAAAAAAUUUUAAUGCCAGUGUUUAAACAAAGAGUUGAGCAAACAAAAAUCAACGAAAAUUAAAAAGUAAAUAAUAAAUUUGUGUCGAAAAACAUACUAUAAGUUCAAGUGCUACACUACACGUCGAAGAAAUUAAGCAUAACAAAGAGAAGUGAAGCAGUCAGCAUAAGCUUUAGUUGAACAGCAGCAGCUGGAAAACGUGUUCCCAACACAAACGCAAGCGGGCUGGUGGCAGGCGGGGGCCACGGCAGCAUAAGAUCAAUAAAAUUCAGCACGUAUUCGAUUGGGCGGCGUGGAGGAGACAGCGCACACAAAACUGCUUCCAGAAGAACUCGAACGCAGUAAACAGGCAACAAGGAAUCGGAAGUCAUUAAAUACGGAAAGAGGUACGUUGCAACGCCGCCACAGAAUGACUGCCGUCACAAUGGAUGUGACCAAAUUGCCGCACUCGCAGGACGGCAUUGAGGUACAGAUGGAUAGUUUAGACUCGAGCCAUGCAUUCACGAAUUCGCUCGAUGAGCCCAAUCCGCCCAAACCCAACGUGUUCAAGUCGAAAAUCUUCAUUGUUGCCGUGAGCUUUUCGAGCGUACUUUUUACCAUCAUGUGUAUCGGUUUUUUGGUACACUAUGAGAUGGCUAGUGAGGUCUACGCUGGCGAAGAUAUACCCUUUUGGAAUGUGCAGUUGCCGCCAGAGCAACAAGUGUGGUAUGAGAAGGGCAUCGAAGAGUUAAAGAAUGCGCUGAGUCGUGAAAUUAAUCGGCGUCGCGCAAAGAAUGUCAUACUUUUCGUGGGUGACGGUAUGGGUCCGAAUACGGUGACAGCGACGCGUAUUUAUGGUUUCAAAGAGGAGGGGCUGCUUAGUUGGGAGCGAUUUCCGCACAUGGGUUUGCUGAAGACUUAUUGCGCCGACAAGCAGGUGCCUGAUUCGUUUUCCACCGCUACGGCGCUGUUUGGUGGCGUUAAGGUCAAUUAUGAAACGGGUGGUGUGGAUUCAAGCGUCUUGCUGAAGAACUGCAGCGCCUCGCUGGAUGCUUCACAUCAUGUGCAGACAAUAUUGAAGUGGGCGCAGGUGGAUGGUAUGAAUACGGGCUUUGUAACGACGACGCGUGUAACGCACGCAACACCGGCCGCCUUGUACGCGCACACGCCAGACCGCCGUUGGGAGUGUGAGGCUAAGAUGUCCGCGGAGGCACAGCAAGAGGGCUGCAAGGACAUUGCCAGACAGUUGGUGGAAGAUGAGACGGGUCGCAAAAUAAAUGUAAUCAUGGGUGGCGGUCGUCAAAUGUUAGUCUCCGGUGUAACGGACGAUCCAGCGGAUCCGCUCGACACUUGGGGUUGCAUAUCAAAAGACGGUCGCGAUUUAAUAACCGAUUGGAAGUCGUACAAACAACAAGCCGGUGAACGCUAUGCGGUUGUGCAAAACAAUGGCGACCUGAAUGCAUUGAACGGUGAGUCCGUAGACUAUGUCAUGGGUAUUUUCGCCAACGGCCACUUGAAGUAUGACCAUGAGCGCGACCGCAGUGACGCGGGUAUGCCAUCGCUGCGGAAUAUGACCGUGAAAGCGCUGGAGGUAUUGAAGAGUAAAGACAAGGGAUUUCUGCUGGUCGUGGAGGGUGGCAUGAUUGAUCAAGCGCAUCAUCGCGGUACGGCCAGACGUGCGCUGUCUGAGGCGCUGGCCUUGAAUGAAGCCGUCGAUGCAGCGGUGGAAGAGAUGAGCGAUCAGUUGGACGAAACUUUGAUCAUCGUAACCGCUGAUCAUUCCCAUAGUCUAACGAUUAACGGUCAUCCAGAAAGAGGUGCUGACAUACUGGGCGUGGCCUCAACCUCAAAGACGGAAGGCACACCAUACACAACACUCACUUAUGGCACAAGUUACAAAGGUUUCCAAGCCGAUGCUAAUGGUAAGCGCGUUGAUCCGACGACUCAGGACACUACCGCUUGGGAAUAUACGCAACAGGCGGCUAUAAAUACUGAUGAAAAUUUGCAUGGUGGUUCCGACGUUACAAUACACGCUAAAGGUGCCAUGGCCUACUUGUUCCACGGCGUACACGAGCAAAGCUAUGUGGCGCAUGUCAUUUCGUAUGCACUUCGUAUCGGCCGCUUUCGUGACAGCACUAUUACAGAAUCGCUGGCGGAACUAAUGCCUUUAUAGUAUAAAAUUAAAUUGGCAUAAUAAUAGGGUGGUGCUAAGCGUAUUACAAACCUAUAUUGGCAUACAAAUAAACAACGUUACACGCACUAAUUCUUUUUAAAAUUUCAUUAAACUAUUGUUGAAACUUUUAUGCGAAAAUAGAAAAUUAAUUACAUUUAAGUGUUUGAUUACCGAUAAGAAAAUUUACAAACUAGAUUAAUCGUUUAUUUAUUAAUUGUGAUAUUGUAUGCCAUUGUUAUUUUAAGUUAAAACAAUAAUACAAUUGACGAAAGUAUUAGAAAUGUAAAAAAUUUUUUUUUUUUUAAUAUAGCAUUUCCGUUCAGCCGUUUGAUACCAUGUUGGACUUCUAGAUAAAAUAAUAAUUAGUUUAAGAGCUUUACUAGUUUUCGAGUUAUCAGCGUGAAAAUGUUUCUAUCUCUGGAAAACUAAUUGCAAGCAGUGAGGAUGCAGAGUUUGAAUAUGUGCCCGUUGAUGCUGUGUUUGAGCUCAAGGAGUUUUGGAAGAUGUGCCCGUUGAUGCUGUGUUUGUGCUCAAGAAGAGUUUUGGAAGAUGCUGCAUGAAAGAAAAACCAUUUAGAAAUUAGAAAUCGUUAUUUUAUAUAUGUCGCUUAUAUCAGAAAGAGAUAGGUGAUAUAUCAGAUCGGUGACUUAUAUUUCAUAAAAAUCGUUAAGAUUUGAAUCCAAAAGUCGUACUGAUGGAGAUUAUAAACGUCGUGUCAUCAUGUACGUUCAUGUUAUUCUUAUAGACGCUUGUGCUACGACCUUUUGUCAAAUUAAAUGAAAUUUACAUUUGUUUAAACAAAUUGUAAAAUUAAAUUACGAAAAAAUCGUUAUGGCAAUGCCGUUCUCAUUGUAAAUCCAAUCAGCUGUUGGCAACAAACAGGGUUGCAUGCUUCUCCUUUGAGUAAAGCGUAAAAAUAUUAAAAGAAUAGCAAUGACUGCAUAUUAUAGUUCAUAAUUUGCAUUUAAAUAUAUUGGUAAAUGCUAUGUUUAAAUUCAAUUUAAAUAAUUUAUAAAAUUUAAAAUGUAAUAAUGUGAAACUCUUAUAUUUAUUGCGCAUAUUUGUAAAGGGGAACUAAUUCUAUAAAUUGGCAACACUGAACUGCGCGACUUGUUCGCCUGCUGAUUAUUUAUUUUAAUUCAGUGCAAUUGGUUUUUAAAUCGCGUACAGCUGUUUAUUUUAUUAAGUGCUGUCGUUUUAUAAGAAAAAGUACUUUUGAUUUUUGAUAAAUAUUAACUGAGCAAUAACUAAAUUUCCCACCUUGUGCAAGAGUCAGUGAAGCAAAACGUACAGCCAACUACCCAAAAGCUGAUUACGUACAAAGCACAACAACGCACACAGUAUUAAUAAUACA